rnacentral:rRNA from 1 species
UACGUAGGGGGCAAGCGUUGUCCGGAUUCAUUGGGCGUAAAGAGCGUGUAGGCGGCCAGGUAGGUCGGUUGUGAAAACUGGAGGCUCAACCUUCAGAGGUCGACCGAAACCAUCUGGCUAGAGUCCGGGAGAGGAGAGUGGAAUUCCUGGUGUGAGCGGUGAAAUGCGCAGAUAUCGGGAGGAACAUCAGUGGCGAAGGCGGCUGCCUGGCCCAAUACUGACACUCAGGUGCGACAGCGUGGGGAGCAAACAGG